rnacentral:rRNA from 1 species
UACAGAGGUGGCAAGCGUUGUUCGGAAUUACUGGGCGUAAAGGGCGCGUAGGCGGCCUACUAAGUCAGACGUGAAAUCCCCCGGCUUAACCUGGGAACUGCGUCUGAUACUGGAAGGCUUGAGGAUGGGAGAGGGAUGUAGAAUUCCAGGUGUAGCGGUGAAAUGCGUAGAUAUCUGGAGGAACACCGGUGGCGAAGGCGGCAUCCUGGACCAAUAUUGACGCUGAGGAGCGAAAGCCAGGGGAGCAAACGGG